AGACUUUUAAUCUGAGGGUCCAG
rnacentral:piRNA from 1 species